rnacentral:rRNA from 1 species
GACGAACGCUGGCGGCGUGCUUAACACAUGCAAGUCGAGCGGUAAGGCCCUUUCGGGGUACGACGAGCGGCGAACGGGUGAGUAACACGUGGGUGACCUGCCCUCCAGCUCUGGGAUAAGCCCGGGAAACUGGGUCUAAUACCGGAUAUGACUCCAUGACGCAUGUUGUGGGGUGGAAAGCCUUGUGCGGCUAGGGAUGGGCCCGCGGCCUAUCAGCUUGUUGGUGGGGUGAUGGCCUACCAAGGCGACGACGGGUAGCCGGCCUGAGAGGGCGACCGGCCACACUGGGACUGAGACACGGCCCAGACUCCUACGGGAGGCAGCAGUGGGGAAUCUUGCGCAAUGGGCGAAAGCCUGACGCAGCGACGCCGCGUGAGGGAUGACGGCCU